rnacentral:sRNA from 1 species
UGGUAUUUUCUUCCUGAUCACCGCCUGCUAUAUAAUCAAAGACAAAAACAAUGCGACUCGCGCCGCUUUGGCAAAUGAUUUGAGAUUGUCGGCACCGCAGAACCAGAAAGAUAUUUUCGAAUCGGAUUGUCUGGUUAUAUGCACAGAUAUUGCUUUGCAAGAGCGAGCGUGACAACCUUUAGGCAACAAACAGAUUCUAGUUAUUCUGAAUCCAAUGGGCCGUUGGAGCAAUCCAAUACCUAAUAUCAGCCGAUCCAAGAAGUUUUUCUACGCACUCAUAGCGAAGGCAUUUUGGAUGAGGUGCUACUGACUGAGAAUCAUCUUUAAUGUUAAUUUAUAAACAUUUCAUGCACACACACAAAAACAUACUCCAG